AAUAGUACCCGGGUAGUCCACGCCGUAAACGAUGAGUGCUAAGUGUUAGAGGGUUUCCGCCCUUUAGUGCUGAAGUUAACGCAUUAAGCACUCCGCCUGGGGAGUACGGCCGCAAGGCUGAAACUCAAAGGAAUUGACGGGGGCCCGCACAAGCGGUGGAGCAUGUGGUUUAAUUCGAAGCAACGCGAAGAACCUUACCAGGUCUUGACAUCCUCUGACAACCCUAGAGAUAGGGCUUCCCCUUCGGGGGCAGAGUGACAGGUGGUGCAUGGUUGUCGUCAGCUCGUGUCGUGAGAUGUUGGGUUAAGUCCCGCAACGAGCGCAACCCUUGAUCUUAGUUGCCAUCAUUCAGUUGGGCACUCUAAGGUGACUGCCGGUGACAAACCGGAGGAAGGUGGGGAUGACGUCAAAUCAUCAUGCCCCUUAUGACCUGGGCCACACACGUGCUACAAUGGACGGUACAAAGAGUCGCGAGACCGCGAGGUGGAGCUAAUCUCAUAAAACCGUUCUCAGUUCGGAUUGUAGG
rnacentral:rRNA from 1 species